UUAUUAAACUAUUACACAGUUAGGUAAUUAUUUACAAAUACUUUCUUCAAAUCAAAAAGAUAGUCCGCUUAUUUAUGAUUGUCAACAAUGCUUUUUAAUUUUUGACAUCUUUUAACCUUGGUCAACUUUUGAAUGAUUGUCAUCUCUUUAAUAUUGUCAUAGUAUGACCUUGGUCAUCUUUUUAAUCAUUAUCUUUUUAAUCGCCAUCUUUUGUCAUCGUUUUAAUCUUUGUCAACGUUUUCUCGUUUUGAUCGUUUUCAUCGUUUUGCCGUAGUCAACUUUUGGACGUAGUCAACUUUUUGACAUCAGCAGCUUAAUCAGCGUUUGGCAUCGUUGCGGCAGCAGAUCAGCUCUCCCACGUAAUUUCUCGAGAAAUUACUUUUUCUAGUUAAUGUUUUAAUGUCUUAUUUUGGAUUUUUUUUAAUCUCUCUUCCUUGCAAUCUGCCCUCUGCCUGCCCACCUACACUCACAGUUUGCCAGAUUGUCUGAUCAUUACCACAGAGUUCAUACCCUCGCUGCCUCCUGCCUAUAAACUAUUAGCCUUGUUCCUGUAGCCUCUGUUUCUGUGUGAAGUAACUUUAACCCUUUCCUGCCAUUUUGCCUUUUGUUUUGUGCUUUGUGUCUCUGUGCUCACUUUGCUGUGUUUCUGUUGUAGUGUUUUUUCACUUGGACUGUUACAGUAAUAAGUAUUUUGCAGAUUCGCAAACAGAAUUAUAUAAUAACAUUGUAUAUGUAUGUAAUGUCUUAAUUUACAAUAAGAUUUUACACUUUGGCAGGAAACUGUCACAGUCCCUGGUCCUGUUCCUUGUUUUAUUUUGAGUUCCUUACGUUCGGUAGUGUCUGGUUCUAGUCCCUGGUUUUAUUUUGAAGUCCUUCCGGUCUGUCACGUUUUGGUUCUGAUCUCCGUCAUUAUGUUGAAAGGACUUCCUGUUCAUGUCAUGUCACAGCUGUUCCCUGUUUCUACCGGUCAUUCUACCGGGCAGCCACACCUGCAUGUCAUCAUUAAUCAGUUCAGUAUAUUUAAGCACCACCUCUCACUCUAGCGCCUCGCCAGAUUGUUUAGCUCGUGUUAGUCACCACUUUCAUUGAUCUAGUCCCGUCGUGUACCGUGUAUCUUGUUUCUGACCUCCGAUUCCCUGUCUGCCUUGUCUGCCCUGGUUUUCUGAUCUUGUCUGUUACCGACCUUGUCUGCCUGCCGGACCACGACUCUACGCCUGACGGAUUGGUAUUGUAAAUCAGUCUCUCGUGUACGAACCUUGCCUGUCCCUGACACCGAUUCUGCCUGCUCCCGUAUAACGCUGUAUGAACUGUCCGUGUAUGAUCCUGCCUGAUCUCGACACUGAGUUGGAAUAAAUUCCUUUUGCUAUUUGCUCAUAUCCCAGCCUGUCCGUGUCGUGCAUGUGGGUCCGCCGCCUUGACGUUCUGACAGAAACAAAGGGACAACAACAAAGUGGUCUUUACAUAUGUAAACAAAUGUAUAAACAAAUUAUACAACAGAAGUGUUGUUUCUUAAACAUUAUUUAAAAAUAGAAGGAAACCGCUAUUAAACAUUACAGCAUAUACAUUUGGACCUGGUUUGAUUAAUGUCAUGUCAUCUGGGGUGUGAUCCAGAAGGCAGGGUUGAUUAACCUUCUACUAAACCCUGAACUCUUGGUUGAUUAACCCAGAAACUGCUUACCCUGAGUAUGUUGGUUCCAAAACACCUGAGAAUUGUUAGGUUAAUUUACCUCCUGUCGGUAACCCAGAGUUAACACACGUGCACGGCGUAUAUAUAAAGACAUUGUCAAUGGAUCGCCAAAUUCACAAGUCAUCAUGGAGAAUCGAAGCAACACGAAAACGGCAGCAUAUUUUAACCACGGAGUUGGAGGUUUUAAUGCAGAGAAUGAAGAAUCUAAGCCGAGUUGAGAGUUAAGAGAGAGUUGGCUUGGCUAAAAAAAUAAAGGUGUAAUCCUUCUGGAGCAAGAGGAACUCGUUCCCCAGUCAAAAUGAAACACAAAAUCCUAUAAAAAGCUAAUAGAAUGAAGGCAGAGGCUUGUCUGACAGGUGGGGGACCACCACCACCUCCCUUCACCCCAUCUGAGGAGCUGGCUCAACAGUAAAAAUCUGCUUAACAGUAGUAUGCAGGCUUAUUUUAUUUACAAUGUUGUAGUACUCUGACUUUAUUUUACAUUGAUCAUAUGGGUUGCAUUGUCUUGCAGUCACUGAUGGACGGAUUGCAUUAUUGUACCCUCCAGAAAGCACACAGUCUGGGACAUUAUGUAAAGCAAAUGUAAAUAAUAUACCAUUUUAUUUUUCGACUUAUUUUAGAUGAGUGAUUUUUUGCAGAAACCUUAAUAAAAGUGAUUUUGACAAAUCAUUGUGUCUUCCAUCUCUGAGGUCUACUUGGUUCACUACUGGAUCCUUAUGGUCAUCUUCAUCAAGACAAGGAGGGUGGCUCUCCUCGUAUUGUGGCAAUUUUGUGAAGGAUAACACAAGCCACUAUAAUGUCACAUGCCCUCUAUAGACUGACCCUGAGGCCACCUAAACACUGGAACCUCGCCUUCAGGAUGCCUGUGGUCAUCUCCAACUUGGCCUGUGUGUAACGACCCUAGUCAUUUUGCUUUCGCAUUAGUGAUGAGAUGGGUUGCAUCACGCAAAAAAACAAAGAGCUACGCACAGAAUGCUUUCUGUGGUAAGUGCAGACUUAAGAUUGAAGUGAAAGGUUUCAAAAGGUUCAGUGAAUAAAUUAAUGAUUCUUUAGAGAAACAAUAACACUCCUUCAAAUAAUCAUCAGUAUAUGAAAAAACAUCUAUACGUGGUCUUAUGACCCUCUCACGGUGAAAAAAAACUCUAAUAAGCUGCGCCUCUACAUCCAUGGGCUUGUCAUCAAACGGGCACUAACUACCAUACCCUAAAACUUACCUGGGUAUGUCACAAAACCCACUUUCUGGAACACACCCCUGGUCUAUCCAACCAAGUGUUUCCAGGGUUUGAGUGUAGGAGCAUCUGUUCAUAAAGUCCAAGGAAAGCAACACCUUCUGUUUGCACAUCAGUGGAUUGUGAUUACCAACCUGUCUUCUCACAGCCUGGGGGCUGUGUUUACGAGGCCUGAUGCCAGAGCAAAUGUUGGUCAGCAGUUGGUCAGCAGUAACCUACGUCACUCCUACUCUGGGGUUUUCUCCUGGUGAGGACUUGAGCUUUGCAUGUGUAUGAAGAUCCAUCGUCACUUGUGUUCUUUCUUUUCUUUCAGAGUUUUCUGCAUCAAGCUCUACAUGGGCCGUGCUCUGACGCAUAACAUGUCGCAUGGCAUCAAAUGUCCGCUGCUGUAUUAUGGGCUGUAUGCGACUAAGGCCAACGCUUGCCUGUAUGAAUCACACUGUGUCUGAGCUAUUUGUGUGCCAACAUAAUUCAAUAGAAGGAGAGUACUGUAUAUCAAACAUAU